GGACAGCCAAUAGCUACUUUCCUUACUAAGGAGUUUUGCAACACUGGCCAUAGACAGAUUACAUCUGAAAGUGCAAUGUAACAACCUGUACCAUUAUCAAUGUCAAUUGUUCUCUGUAUUCAUUGACUGCAGGUCCGUGUAUCUAUAAAGAGGUUCCGUUUCAGCCUGGACAGACCUUCUACAGGGGUUGUGACAAGUGCUACUGCCACGAAAAUGGCUACUUCUGCCUCUCGUGAGUAAACGGACCAGAUUAGUGACUGAUAUGAAAAUAUUAACCGUAUGCAACAGUGAAAUAUAGAAACCAAACAUGAAUUCAGUUUUUGCCAAUAUCACGUGUCUUUUUUUCGUUCGUAUCCCCAGACGGAUGAAACCUACCACUUGGCCCAACAACUGCCAGCGGAUUCCAACUGAGUGUGGCUACCGCGUGGUUUAUAAGGAGUUCCCGGAGGUGGAGUGUCAAGCCUACAGCUGGAUCUGGUGAAGGCAGACAGACAGACAGACACCUAUGCCCCCCUACAGUCAAAAUACACGAUAGCAAGACUGGCAGUGGACAACCCAUUGAAGGAACCAGUUACCAUGCAGAGAACAGACCACAACAAACCUUCAAUUUGGAACUUGUUCUUGCAAAGAAGGAACCAAUUCCCAAAUGUAAUGACUCAACAACAAAAGUUUCAUCCUUCGUUUUUAAUGAAUGUGUGUAGGGGGACAGAGAGUGAGUGUGUGUGUGCGUGCAUGUUGUAAUUGGCUUGGAUUCCAAUAAGGUGUUCUCAAACACAAGUACCAUAAAAAGUAGCAAGCAACUACAGUGUUCAGUCAGUCUCCUAUCAUCCCAAUAUGCUUACUCAGCUUCCUGCCCUCCUCGCCUUACUUUAGUGACCACUGAUCUAAUGCCUCGAUCACACCGCCAGUGUUAUUGCAUUUUGGUACACCAAAAGUACAUUCAUUUCCAAUGGAAUGCUGCGUUUGUCAACGGCUUGACAGAAAUGGUUGCAGAAGGUGAAUGUUGAACUUUUGUUGCACACAUAUCCAGAUGACGCAGCAUACCAUUUUGCGCAAUGAUGCUGUAGGUGUGAUUGAGGUGUAAGGCCUUGAUCACACUGAUAGCGCUGUAGGUGUGAUUGAGGUGUAAGGCCUUGAUCACACUGAUAGCGCUGUAGGUGUGAUUGAGGUGUAAGGCCUUGAUCACACUGAUAGCGCUGUAGGUGUGAUUGAGGUGUAAGGCCUUGAUCACACUGAUAGCGCUGUAGGUGUGAUUGAGGUGUAAGGCCUUGAUCACACUGAUAGCGCUGUAGGUGUGAUUGAGGUGUAAGGCCUUGAUCACACUGAUAGCGAAAAAUAGUAAGCAGCAUCCUCUGGAUAUGUGUGCAACAAAAGUUCAACAUUCACCUUCUGCUACCAUUUCGGUCAAGCCGUCUACGCAUUGUUUGACGCAUACGUUCGAUAAACAGAACACACGGCAACUGCCUCUGCGACGCAAUGCUGCAAGGCAAACGCAGCAUUCCAUUGGAAAUGAAUGUACUUCUGGUGUACCAAAAUGCAAUGCCGCUGUCGGUGUGAUCGAGGCGUAAGCGACCAACUGAGUAGUUUGGUGAACCACCCAACUGCAUUGCCCUUCUAAGAGGACUCCGACCAUGUAUGUCAAAAUUGUAUCACCUGUUGUUUACGAAGCAUGUGACAAAUAAAAAAAUUAUUUGACCUCGUGACAAGCCGCAAGACAAAUGGCGUGAUGCUAUAGAUGUCGACGCUAUUACCGCCACUGCCCGAGUGUGGCCCUCAUAUCUCAACCAGAUACCCUUCAUUACCGUGCAGUGUUACAAAGGUCUAUAGCUGUAUCCUCGUGAUAUUUUCCUAUCGGUUCCUUUGUAGGUGUUCAGUCUUCUGUAUGUCACAGACUGCUAGGUUUUCAAUGUGUCAACUUCACAAACCUAGGCUGGAUUUACAAUCCACUAUGCAUGCUCCAUAGAGGCUCUGCAACCACUUUGCGACUUUACCGCACUGAGAUUUGAACGGUGCGUGGCAGAAUGUGUAACGUUACGCAAGCGUCAGUGACGAAUUGCUCAGCAGAAAGCUUGUCCAUGGAGUUUAAACUCAGCCUUACUCACAGGGUGACUCCCUAGCCUUACUCGUCGACUGGUUUGUCAGGCUAAGGAGAUAUUUCACCAUUCACUUCACUGUGUGUACAGUAUAUAAUCAAUUCUUUCAAAUAAAACAUGGCAGUGUUACAUACUAUGUAAAGAAAUGUUCACUAUUUCUUGAACAGAUUUUUGAGAACGGGUAUAUACACCAUAGUGCAUGAAAUAUCAAAAGGGCAAUUUUUCAAAAUACAUUAUCAUCAGUAUUUUAUUAUCAAAAUGCAUUACAUCUCUUCUGCUUUAUCUUUUGGAUGGGGGAGUCCAAAUAGUCACCACUAUGCUGUGUAAAAAAUAAAACAAAAUGAGUUAAACGUAAUUUCCCCCCCAAAAAAAUGCAGUGUCCAGUUUCUCCGGUAGUGGAAAGUGAAGACUUUCUGGACAGACCUAAUCAUCCCAAUCCACCUGUCAGUCGGUCAGACCCAGAAAAGAAAUAUCAUGCGGCAAAUUUAGUGUACUAUAUUUCUCUUUGUACAGUUUAACACAUUUUAUACAAGUACACAUGAUCAUACAUUGUAGUUUCAUUUUAGGGGGUAUUUCUUUCUUUACUUAAGGUGCUGGUAGUUUUGGGUGACAUUUCUCAGAAGUCUUCUGUCAAACAUUCAUGUAACAAGUGAGUACCCUUAUGUCUGUGGAUGAGGCAAUAAGAGGAAAGGUCAAGUGUCCGGUCAAGCUGGCCAGUCCCUCUGUCAGAAGCCCCAGUGUGGUUCCUGGGGCCCCAAAGACAUUUACUCCCAACCAAACUAGAAAUUCCAGUCCGAAUGAUUUCCAUCUUCCUGCGGUCUAGUCUGUCACUAGGAGACUACAACUCUGUGUGCAUCAGCAAUGUCAUUUAACGUUGAUUAAAAGUCCCACUGCUGUGGUCAUGGCACAUGACUUGAUAAACUUUGUGUUGUGAUUUUCAUAUUUUUGUUUUAUAUUCAGUUGGUGAGGACCCUACUAAAAUGGGGGUACAGCAUUCUGUGGAAAGUGAGACUUCUUGAAGCAGCAACAAAUAAGGAGAACACAGCAGCCUUUUCUUUUUAUAUUGUUCAAACCAUCCUCCUGUUUUCUUAGGUGGCAUAUGGAAUGCAAGGAAUGGUCAGAAGGAGAGAAAAAAUAUAUUCUCUAUAUACAUUUUAAUAAAAAGAAUCCGACAGGAUUCAAAAGACGACAAACCCAACAACGGAGUAAAGAAAACAAAUCCUCUUCUGCUUCUUCCUUCUCACUCUGUCCCUGCAUUCCAGCACAAUACAAGGGUUUUAACGAU